AAGGUGGGGCUGAUGACUGGGGUGAAGUCGUAACAAGGUAUCCGUACCGGAAGGUGCGGAUGGAUCACCUCCUAACAGGGAGACAACACAAUGAUUUUGAUGCCUGAGUGCUUUUAUUCUUAGGCCGAAAUCCUGUCACCUUAGGUCGAUCGGUACCUCAGCUUUGAAGUUAAGGGUCAGCAGCAAUGUUGAUUGCUUGAUGGAGAUUUUCAGUUCCUAAACUUUGUCUAGGUCACACCCCAAAAGGGAUGAGACUCCUGGGCCAUUAGCUCAGGUGGUUAGAGCGCACCCCUGAUAAGGGUGAGGUCCCUGGUUCAAGUCCAGGAUGGCCCAUUCGGUGUUGGGGGUUUAGCUCAGUUGGUAGAGCGCCUGCUUUGCAAGCAGGAUGUCAGGAGUUCGAGUCUCCUAACCUCCACUGACCGAACUUGAUUCCCAUCUCCAAUUUUUUGGAGUUGAGCUCGAUUGGAGUGUGAUGUAGAUGUGUCCGCUGGAUGACCCCAGCUUCCUGUCAUUCCAAGUUUUAGGUUGAUGCCUUGAAUUUGGUUGAUAAGAUGCUGGGCUCGGAUCAAAUGAUCAAGCAAUUGAUGAUUUGAUUUGAAGUUCUAGCAGAACCUUGACAACUGCAUAGGUGAGUCUGGAAAAAACAAAGCAUCUUACAGAUGCAUUGUUUUGAAUCUAAUCUUCUGAAAGGGAGAUUGGAUCUAGAACAAUGAAAAUUCUUUUGAGCAAGAGCCGAGACUCUUGGGCGUUCUUUGAUUGGUGUCGAGCCAAUCAGAGUUUGAUCUUGUUUUUAGCAAUAAAAACUUGAGAAUCUGCUUUCAACGGCGGUAAGCGUUCAGGAGGUUAAUUGGUCAAGCUACAAAGGGCUCACGGC
rnacentral:misc_RNA from 1 species